rnacentral:piRNA from 1 species
UAAUCUAGGCCACGACUUCUAGGGUAGCC